CACGGUCCACUGAACAUAGAAAAUGAAAGUGCAUGUUUCAGGUUAAAGUUUUUGGUCAAGGUAGUUUGAUGAAGUUGAAGUCCAAUCAACUGAAACUUAGUACACAUGUUCCUUAUGAUAUGAUCUUUCUAAUUUUAAAGCCAAAUUAAACUUUUGACCCCAAUUUCACGGUCCACUGAACAUAGAAAAUGAAAGUGCAUGUUUCAGGUUAAAUUUUUUGGUCAAGGUAGUUUUUGAUGAAGUUGAAGUCCAAUCAACUUGAAACUUAGUACACAUGUUCCCUAUGAUAUUAUCUUUCUAAUUUUAAUGCCUAAUAUAUUUUUUAUCCAAUUUCAUGCUCCAUUGAACAUGGAAAAUGAUAGUGUGAGUGGGGCAUCCGUGUACUUUGGACACAUUCUUGUUAUAUUUUAUAUCAGCUUGGAGAAACUUAGACAAAUGUUGAUUUUUUACAGGGAUGUUUUGAUUAUUAACUACUUUAAUAAAAUUAUUUAAUAUUAAUUACCUGAUGAAAAGAUCUACCAUUUCAUUAUUUUUCAUGAAAUAAAUAAAGCAAUUUUUAUGCCCCACCUAUGAUAGUAGAGGGGCAUUAUGUUUUCUGGUCUGUGCGUCCGUUCGUCUGUCUGUUCGUUCGUUCGUCCGUCCGUCCGUUCGUUCGUCCGUCUGUCCCGCUUCAGGUUAAAGUUUUUGGUCAAGGUAGUUUUUGAUGAAGCUGAAGUCCAAUCAACUUGAAACUUAGUACAUAUGUUCCUUAUGAUAUGAUCUUUCUAAUUUUAAAGACAAAUUAAACUUUUGACCCCGAUUUCACGGUCCACUGAACAUAGAAAAUGAAAGUGCGAGUUUCAGGUUAAAGUUUUUGGUCAAGGUAGUUUUUGAUGAAGUUGAAGUCCAAUCAACUUGAAACUUAGUACAAAUGUUCCCUAUGAUAUGAUCUUUCUAAUUUUAAUGCCUAAUUAUAUUUUUUACCCAUUUUCACGGUCCAUCGAACAUGGAAAAUGAUAGUGCGAAUGGGGCAUCCGUGUACUUUGGAC
rnacentral:lncRNA from 1 species